UCCCCGGUAGCCUAGUGGGUUAAAGAUCCAGCACCAUCACUGCUGUGGCGCAGGUUCGAUCCCUGGCCUGGGAA
rnacentral:tRNA from 1 species